UGCAGUGUGGGGGAGGAGUCACCCCGCGAGCCUCAUAAGCUCGAGACGCUGGUGCGAUUCCAGCCGCUGCAC
rnacentral:tRNA from 1 species